rnacentral:rRNA from 1 species
GACGAACGCUGGCGGCGUGCCUAAUACAUGCAAGUCGAGCGGACUGAAUGGGAGCUUGCUCUUGUUCGGUCAGCGGCGGACGGGUGAGUAACACGUGGGCAACCUGCCCGCAAGACCGGGAUAACUCCGGGAAACCGGAGCUAAUACCGGAUAACACCGAAGACCGCAUGGUCUUUGGUUGAAAGGCGGCGCAAGCUGCCACUUGCGGAUGGGCCCGCGGCGCAUUAGCUAGUUGGUGAGGUAACGGCUCACCAAGGCGACGAUGCGUAGCCGGCCUGAGAGGGUGGCCGGCCACACUGGGAAUGGGACACGGCCCAGACUCCUACGGGAGGCAGCAGUAGGGAAUCUUCCGCAAUGGGCGGAAGCCUGACGGAGCGACGCCGCGUGAGCGAAGAAGGCCUUCGGGUCGUAAAGCUCUGUUGUGAGGGACGAAGGAGCGCCGUUUGAAGAAGGCGGCGCGGUGACGGUACCUCACGAGGAAGCCCCGGCUAACUACGUG